UAAUUAGCAGAUGGAAAACGUGAGGUGGUAGAAGUAGAUUGAACAAAGUAGAGAUCGGAUUGACCCCUGAUUGAUCAAGAAUCAAAACGAAGCUAGCGCCCUGGGAAUCAAGUCAGCCAGAACACAUGCAAUCAACGAUCCAAAUGAUGGAACGCAGGAACUCAGAUAUGCGCCAAUCAUAAGAUGACUUUUCUGAAUAUUUAUCUGUAUCAACUCCAACCUAAACCUAGACAACGCUGCCCCUUGCUUAUAUAGGUGGUGCCUAACAAUUGGGCCUAGACCGACCUGGACUAGGAAAACGAUGAGGACUCCUCACGUUACAACUUGUACGUAGAAACUAAAAAAACCUACAAAAACCAAUUAAACUAGAAAACAAAUAAAAAGGACACGCCUCCUCUGUCAUGGCAUUUUGUACGCUUGAUUCAUCCAGGACCCAUGUACGUAUAUUGGCCUUCGUACAAAUAUUGGCAAGGUGUUCUGAACAUAGGCUUCACUUUCUCCUGAGGCACGAUCCGAGGAGCAACUUCAGUAGCAUAUGGAACAGGCAUCAUACCUAAGAUUCCUCUCUAUUUUGUAGCACACAUUAUCUUCUUAUGACGCAGAGCAGGAACCACAUAUUUUUGCAUCUUAUUUUCAUAGCCAGACUCUCGCUUGGAAAAUACUUUACUUGGCGAUAAUGGUGAAACGACAAGAGUACCUGGGGUGACCGCAUCAUCCUCUCCCCCUUCAAACGAAAUCGUCCUCGGUUUCGGAGCACCCUUCAAAACAUUCUUGUGUACAAACAUAUGAUCAACCUUGAUAGCAUUAUUACCCAUGGGCUGCAGCACACGUUUGAUGCCAACAUCUCGGAACACGUAAGUGUUUGACCUCCCCUCAUGUAUAGCGUUGCGAUCGUAUUGCCACGGACGACCCAAUAGUAAUUGGCACACAUCCAUUGGCACGACGUCACAAAUGACCUCAUCAUAAUAUGUGCCAAUAUUGAACUUUACGCGUACCUUGUGAGUCACCUUCAAACGUCCGGAGUUGUACAACCACUCAAUGCAAUGUGGCUGCGGAUGUGGCCAUGCCUUCAGUCCUAAAGCAUCCACCACACGCUUGCUUAUGAUGUUGGUGUAGCUCCCUCCAUCAAUAAUCAACUUGCAACACUUGUUUUUGAUCUUGCAUUGUGACUGAAAAAUUUUCCACCACUGUCCCGAACUUGGAAUUUGAUCCUCUUUAGCUCGCUGCACCAUGAUGCAUGGCAGGUCAUCAUAAUCUAGAGGAUAGCACAUGAUAGGAUUAGAUUCACUUUCCCCUUCCUUGGGCUCAUCAGACUCUGAGUCAAUUUUGUCUUCGGAAACAUAUCCAUCAUUAACAAGGAGCACUCUCUUCUUGUUCGGACAAUCAAUGCGUUUGUGUCCCCUACCUCCACAUGUGUAACAAACAAUCUCACUAGUACGCAUAGCAGACUGCGCACUUGAAUCAGCCCUUGAAGCCACUUUGCUCGCGGCCAUAGAUUCUUUGCUCAUCUCCUUGUGAUUGGUAGCAGCUGACCUAUAGGAUGAAGCUGGCUUGACAUUAUCAUCGUCAUGCGAAUAGGAAUGUCGCCCCAUGCUAAAAUUGGUGCGGCCUUUGGAAACUUGCUUGGCUUUGACCCACUGUUCGGCACGCUCCGCCUGAUGAAGAAGAUCUUGCAUAUCAUUAUACUGCAUCAAAUCAACACGGUCACGUAUAUCCUCAUUCAGCCCCUCAAAGAAGCGUGUCAUUGUUGCAUCAUCAGACUCAUGCACAUUAGUUCUGAUCAUCAGAACUUGCAUCCGUUGGUAAUACUCAUCCACCGUCAUGGCUCCUUGAACAAGACGGCGAAGCUUUGUGUGUUGCUCCUUCUGAAAAUAAGCUGGCACAAAGCGAGCACGCAUUGUACGCUUCAUCUCACGCCAUGACUCUGGUCGUGCGUCAUUGCGGUUGAGCUGAUCCCACCAAAUUAAUGCAUAACCUGAAAAUUCAAGAGAAGCAAAACGAAUCUUCCGCUCCUCGGAGUAACGGUGAUUAUCAAAAAUCUGCUCCACACGCAUCUCCCACUCAAGAUACUCCUCGGGACCGGCCUUGCCUGUGAACGAAGGUAUAGUAAUUUUUAUUCUACCAAUACCUCCGUCCUCGUCCUCAUCGCGGCUCUGCCUUGGUCCAUCAUCACGGGGACGAGCAUCCUGUCGUGGUCGGCGAGGCAAGUCGCCGCGAGCAUCAGAACCAUCCUCGAACUUAGCAUCAUUGUCGUCGUUGGUAACGUCCGCGUCACGGAUAUGUUGAGGUGCUCGCUGCUGCAGGGCAUGUUGUUCCCUCGCUGGAGCAGCCGCGCCGGUUGCCCUUGCCUCUAGGCGACGGAGGGCUGCUUGCAUGGCCUGGAACCCAUCGGUCACCGUCUCGUCGAGGGCCUUCAUGCGGUUGUCGAAGUGCUGGUAUGUAGCCUUGAACAUAGCACGGACACCUGGGUCCAGAUCGGGACCAUAUUGCGGCGGCCCAUCAUCCUCCUGCACCUCAUCCGCGUCACGCUUGCUUGCAGUUGACAUCGCGCAGUGAUAAACCUGGCGCUCUCUGAUACCAGUUGAUAUGCCUCAAAUAGCUUUGAGACGAUUUUAUGGGUGGCCCUGAUCUCUUACUGACGCAAAGAGCUAGCAGAGUAAAACUUGAAUGGAAGGAGAUGAAUUAGAACAUGCCGAAUAUAUAUAGCUGCAGUGGUGAUUCUGUACGUGAACGAGUAGUAGCUAGCUAGAUGGAUUGGUUUAGACAAAUGAUGAUCAGCGGCGGCGGCGGCGACAGAGUAAUUAGCAGAUGGAAAACGUGAGGUGGUAGAAGUAGAUUGAACAAAGUAGAGAUCGGAUUGACCCCUGAUUGAUCAAGAAUCAAAACGAAGCUAGCGCCCUGGGAAUCAAGUCAGCCAGAACACAUGCAAUCAACGAUCCAAAUGAUGGAACGCAGGAACUCAGAUAUGCGCCAAUCAUAAUAUGACUUUUCUGAAUAUUUAUCUGUAUCAACUCCAACCUAAACCUAGACAACGCUGCCCCUUGCUUAUAUAGGUGGUGCCUAACAAUUGGGCCUAGACCGACCUGGACUAGGAAAACGAUGAGGACUCCUCACGUUACAACUUGUACGUAGAAACUAAAAAAACCUACAAAAACCAAUUAAACUAGAAAACAAAUAAAAAGGACACG
rnacentral:lncRNA from 1 species